rnacentral:rRNA from 1 species
AACGAACGCUGGCGGCAUGCCUAACACAUGCAAGUCGAACGAGACCUUCGGGUCUAGUGGCGCACGGGUGCGUAACGCGUGGGAACCUGCCCUUAGGUUCGGAAUAACUCCCCGAAAGGGGUGCUAAUACCGGAUAAUGUCUUCGGACCAAAGAUUUAUCGCCUUUGGAUGGGCCCGCGUUGGAUUAGCUAGUUGGUAGGGUAAAAGCCUACCAAGGCGACGAUCCAUAGCUGGUCUGAGAGGAUGAUCAGCCACACUGGGACUGAGACACGGCCCAGACUCCUACGGGAGGCAGCAGUGGGGAAUAUUGGACAAUGGGCGAAAGCCUGAUCCAGCAAUGCCGCGUGAGUGAUGAAGGCCUUAAGGUGGUAAAGCUCUUUUACCCGGGAUGAUAAUGACAGUACCGGGAGAAUAAGCUCCGGCGAACUCCGG